GUGACGGCAGCACAAGGAGGAGCAGCAGCGCUGGGGUCACAAGAAGGGGUGCAAAUCAUAGAUCUGUUAAAACAAUCAUAUCGCUAAUUAGCGUUGGCCCCCCACUUAUUAUAUCUGCAAAACCUCCGGAUUCCACCCGUUAAUCAAGCAAUGGUCAGAUACGACUCAGAUUUACCACCAUAAUGUCCAACAGCUACUCUGACCAAUUGAUUGAUCCCUUCACCGAC
rnacentral:lncRNA from 1 species